rnacentral:sRNA from 1 species
UGAUGAUGUAAUUCCUAGGUUAUUAUCGU